AACGAACGCUGGCGGCAUGCCUAACACAUGCAAGUCGAACGAGACCUUCGGGUCUAGUGGCGCACGGGUGCGUAACGCGUGGGAAUCUGCCCUUGGGUUCGGAAUAACAGUUAGAAAUGACUGCUAAUACCGGAUGAUGUCGAAAGACCAAAGAUUUAUCGCCCGAGGAUGAGCCCGCGUAGGAUUAGCUAGUUGGUGAGGUAAAGGCUCACCAAGGCGACGAUCCUUAGCUGGUCUGAGAGGAUGAUCAGCCACACUGGGACUGAGACACGGCCCAGACUCCUACGGGAGGCAGCAGUGGGGAAUAUUGGACAAUGGGCGAAAGCCUGAUCCAGCAAUGCCGCGUGAGUGAUGAAGGCCUUAGGGUUGUAAAGCUCUUUUACCCGGGAUGAUAAUGACAGUACCGGGAGAAUAAGCUCCGGCUAACUUCGUGCCAGCAGCCGCCGUAAGAC
rnacentral:rRNA from 1 species